rnacentral:rRNA from 1 species
AUUGAACGCUGGCGGCAGGCCUAACACAUGCAAGUCGAGCGAGCGGCGGACGGGUGAGUAAUGUCUGGGAAACUGCCUGAUGGAGGGGGAUAACUACUGGAAACGGUAGCUAAUACCGCAUACCAUCAGAUGUGCCCAGAUGGGAUUAGCUAGUAGGUGGGGUAACGGCUCACCUAGGCGACGCUCCCUAGCUGGUCUGAGAGGAUGACCAGCCACACUGGAACUGAGACAGGGCCCAGAUCCCCAGGGGGGGCAGCAUGGGGGAAUAUUGGACAAUGGGGGAAAGCGUGAUCCAGCCAUGCCGGGUGUGGGAAGAAGGUCUGCGGAUUGUAAAGCACUUUAAGUUGGGAGGCGUUACCAACAGAAUAAGCACCGGCUAACUUCGUGCCAGCAGCCGCGGUAAUU